rnacentral:rRNA from 1 species
CCUACGGGAGGCAGCAGUGGGGAAUAUUGCACAAUGGGCGCAAGCCUGACGCAGCCAUGCCGCGUGUGUGAAGAAGGCCUUCGGGUUGUAAAGCACUUUCAGCGGGGAGGAAGGCGUUAAGGUUAAUAACCCUGUCGAUUGACGUUACCCGCAGAAGAAGCACCGGCUAACUCCGUGCCAGCAGCCGCGGUAAUACGGAGGGUGCAAGCGUUAAUCGGAAUUACUGGGCGUAAAGCGCACGCAGGCGGUCUGUCAAGUCGGAUGUGAAAUCCCCGGGCUCAACCUGGGAACUGCAUUCGAAACUGGCAGGCUAGAGCCUUGUAGAGGGGGGUAGAAUUCCAGGUGUAGCGGUGAAAUGCGUAGAGAUCUGGAGGAAUACCGGUGGCGAAGGCGGCCCCCUGGACAAAGACUGACGCUCAGGUGCGAAAGCGUGGGGAGCAAACAGGAUUAGAUACCCCUGUAGUC